AGUGAACGCUGGCGGUAGGCCUAACACAUGCAAGUCGAACGGCAGCACAGUAAGAGCUUGCUCUUACGGGUGGCGAGUGGCGGACGGGUGAGGAAUACAUCGGAAUCUACUUUUUCGUGGGGGAUAACGUAGGGAAACUUACGCUAAUACCGCAUACGACCUACGGGUGAAAGCAGGGGAUCUUCGGACCUUGCGCGAUUGAAUGAGCCGAUGUCGUAUUAGCUAGUUGGCGGGGUAAAGGCCCACCAAGGCGACGAUCCGUAGCUGGUCUGAGAGGAUGAUCAGCCACACUGGAACUGAGACACGGUCCAGACUCCUACGGGAGGCAGCAGUGGGGAAUAUUGGACAAUGGGCGCAAGCCUGAUCCAGCCAUACCGCGUGGGUGAAGAAGGCCUUCGGGUUGUAAAGCCCUUUUGUUGGGAAAGAACAGCAGCAGGUUAAUACCCCGCUGUUCUGACGGUACCCAAAGAAUAAGCACCGGCUAACUUCGUG
rnacentral:rRNA from 1 species